rnacentral:rRNA from 1 species
UACGGAGGGUGCAAGCGUUGCUCGGAAUUAUUGGGCGUAAAGCGCGUGUAGGCGGUUUUCUAAGUCUGAUGUGAAAUCCCAGGGCUUAACCCUGGAACUGCAUUGGAUACUGGAUAACUAGAGGGCGAGAGAGGAUGGUGGAAUUCCUGGUGUAGGGGUGAAAUCCGUAGAUAUCAGGAGGAACAUCAGUGGCGAAGGCGGCCAUCUGGCUCGCACCUGACGCUGAGACGCGAAAGCGUGGGGAGCAAACAGG